rfam:Equus caballus chromosome 4, whole genome shotgun sequence.
GUGGCUGCCGGGAUGGGUGCUUUCUACUAGUGCUGUGCAGAGGCUUUCCCUGAGGCUGCUGUGAGCCUGUAGGGUUUCCCCCUAGGCUAUGGAAGCUGG